rnacentral:rRNA from 1 species
GACAGAGGGGGCAAGCGUUGUUCGGAUUUACUGGGCGUAAAGGGCGCGUAGGCGGUCGUGACAAGUCACUUGUGAAAUCUCCGGGCUUAACUCGGAACGGUCAAGUGAUACUGUCGGACUAGAGUACAGAAGGGGCAACUGGAAUUCUCGGUGUAGCGGUGAAAUGCGUAGAUAUCGAGAGGAACACCUGCGGCGAAGGCGGGUUGCUGGGCUGACACUGACGCUGAGGCGCGAAAGCUAGGGGAGCGAACGGG